rnacentral:rRNA from 1 species
ACUCCUACGGGAGGCAGCAGUGGGGAAUAUUGCACAAUGGGCGCAAGCCUGAUGCAGCCAUGCCGCGUGUGUGAAGAAGGCCUUCGGGUUGUAAAGCACUUUCAGUUGUGAGGAAAGGUUAGUCGCUAAUAUCGGCUAGCUGUGACGUUACCUACAGAAGAAGCUCCGGCUAACUCCGUGCCAGCAGCCGCGGUAAUACGGAGGGAGCGAGCGUUAAUCGGAAUUACUGGGCGUAAAGCGCACGUAGGCGGCUUUGUAAGUCGGAUGUGAAAGCCCCGGGCUUAACCUGGGAAUGGCAUUCGAUACUGCAGAGCUAGAGUAUGGUAGAGGGAAGUGGAAUUCCGGUGUAGCGGUGAAAUGCGUGAUAUCGGAAGGAACACCGGUGGCGAAGGCGACUUCCUGGGCCAAUACUGACGCUGAGGUGCGAAAGCGUGGGUAGCAAACAGGAUUAGAUACCCUGGUAGGCUCUG